AGAGUUUGAUCAUGGCUCAGGAUGAACGCUAGCUACAGGCUUAACACAUGCAAGUCGAGGGGCAGCAUGUUGGUUGCUUGCAACCAAUGAUGGCGACCGGCGCACGGGUGAGUAACGCGUAUCCAACCUACCCUUGCCCAUCGGAUAACCCGUCGAAAGGCGGCCUAACACGAUAUGCGGUUCUCAGCAGGCAUCUAACGAGAACGAAAUGUGAAGGGAGAAGGAUGGGGAUGCGUCUGAUUAGGCUUGUUGGCGGGGUAACGGCCACCAAGGCGACGAUCAGUAGGGGUUCUGAGAGGAAGGUCCCCCANAUUGGAACUGAGACACGGUCAAACUCUACGGGAGCA
rnacentral:rRNA from 1 species